UGGGGAAUAUUGGACAAUGGGCGAAAGCCUGAUCCAGCCAUGCCGCGUGUGUGAAGAAGGCCUUUUGGUUGUAAAGCACUUUAAGCGAGGAGGAGGCUACUAGUACUAAUACUACUGGAUAGUGGACGUUACUCGCAGAAUAAGCACCGGCUAACUCUGUGCCAGCAGCCGCGGUAAUACAGAGGGUGCGAGCGUUAAUCGGAAUUACUGGGCGUAAAGCGCGCGUAGGUGGUUCGUUAAGUUGAAUGUGAAAGCCCCGGGCUCAACCUGGGAACUGCAUCCAAAACUGGCGAGCUGGAGUAGGGCAGAGGGUGGUGGAAUUUCCUGUGUAGCGGUGAAAUGCGUAGAUAUAGGAAGGAACACCAGUGGCGAAGGCGACCACCUGGGCUCAUACUGACACUGAGGUGCGAAAGCGUGGGGAGCAAACAGG
rnacentral:rRNA from 1 species